UUGAGGACCUGCUCCAUGAUUUUUCCAGGGACUGAGGUGAGGCUGACCGGCCUGUCUCAAACAAAUAUUUUAUAUUGUCAUUUCUAGUCAAAAUAUUUAAAUCACUCUACUUUUAUUCUCUGUAAUUUAAAAUUGUGUUAAUGAAAAAAAUCACCAGUCAUGUCUGGGCCAAAUCCUGCCUUCGCUCUUCUCAAGUAUAGAUUCCAUAGUGCACUGAGUAUUGCAGGAGCAGCAGGGCUGAGGAGGAGGCAGUUUAGAGAAAUUCUAUAUAGUUAGCAAGGACUGUAAAGAGGGAACAGGACUUCUUCUCCGUCUCUGUGGGUGCCAUGCU